rnacentral:lncRNA from 1 species
UCGAAUUCUCCUUUUCCUCCGGGUUUCACUUAAGCCUUCAAGAAGAGGUUCUCGACUUUUCUUGCUUCUAGUACGAAUUAUAUCCUGCAUACAUAACAAACAAAACCCUAAACAGCACUUUUCUAAAACAAAAAGAAAACAAAAACAAAAAUCAAGUCAAAGUUAAUCAAUAAUCACCCUACUAGAAUAAUUAAACUACGAGUCCCCAGCAACGGUGUCAAAAACUUGUUAAGACUCCG